UCUUCCCAGAGGGAGAGCGGCCUGGGGCGAGGGUGGUUUGUGUUGUGGUGCGAUGCUGCGUGGAAGCGCGUGUGGGCUGAGUGAGUGGACACGCGAAUGUGUGAGUGUGCGCAUGGGGCGUGCAAGGCGAGUGCGUGUGCCCGUCCCUGAGCCCCUCCCCCCGCCUACACCUUGAUCUUAUUUGAUCGGGUUGUGACCCUAGCCCCGCCGGGCCGACCCGAGAUGAAAAGUUAUCCUCCUGCGAAGCCCCUUCAUCGGGGCGCUGUGCAGCGAGGCCCCUUGGGCGGCGGUAACGCCGUGGUCCCGGAGCCGGUCUUACGGGGCCCGGCGCUCAGAAGUGAUGAAUUGAUCAGAUAGACGAGGCCGGGCUUGUCCCGGGCCAAUGAUUAUCGAGGCGAUUCUGAUCUGA